rnacentral:rRNA from 1 species
UACGGGGGGGGCAAGCGUUGUUCGGAAUUACUGGGCGUAAAGGGCUCGUAGGCGGCCAACUAAGUCAGAUGUGAAAUCCCCGGGCUCAACCCGGGAACUGCGUCCGAUACUGGAAGGCUUGAAUCCGGGAGAGGGAUGUGGAAUUCCAGGUGUAGCGGUGAAAUGCGUAGAUAUCUGGAGGAACACCGGUGGCGAAGGCGACAUCCUGGACCGGUAUUGACGCUGAGGCGCGAAAGCCAGGGGAGCAAACGGG